GACGAACCGUGCGAACGUUGUUCGGAUUCACUGGGCUUAAAGGGCGCGUAGGCGGGUAACCAAGUCCGGGGUGAAAGCCUCCAGCUUAACUGGAGAAGUGCCUCGGAUACUGGUCGUCUCGAGGAGGGUAGGGGCAUCUGGAACUAGCGGUGGAGCGGUGAAAUGCGCAGAUAUCGGGAGGAACACCAAUUGCGAAGGCAGCUCGCUGGGACGUCACUGACGCUGAGACGCGAAAGCGUGGGGAGCAAACAGG
rnacentral:rRNA from 1 species